rnacentral:rRNA from 1 species
AGCAGAGAUGCUUUGGUGCCUUUCGGGGAACUCUGAGACAGGUGCUGCAUGGCUGUCGUCAGCUCGUGUUGUGAAAUGUUGGGUUAAGUCCCGCAACGAGCGCAACCCUUAUCCUUUGUUGCCAGCGGUCCGGCCGGGAAACUCAAAGGAGACUGCCAGUGAUAAACUGGAGGAAGGUGGGGAUGACGUCAAGUCAUCAUGGCCCUUACGAGUAGGGCUACACACGUGCUACAAUGGCGCAUACAAAGAGAAGCGACCUCGCGAGAGCAAGCGGACCUCAUAAAGUGCGUCGUAGUCCGGAUUGGAGUCUGCAACUCGACUCCAUGAAGUCGGAAUCGCUAGUAAUCGUGGAUCAGAAUGCCACGGUGAAUACGUUCCCGGGCCUUGUACACACCGCCCGUCACACCAUGGGAGUGGGUUGCAAAAGAAGUAGGUAGCUUAACCUUCGGGAGGGCGCUUACCACUUUGUGAUUCAUGACUGGGGUGAAGUCGUAACAAGGUAGGCGUAGUGCU